ACCCCCAAGGUAUUGAAGGGUGGAUGCCUGCCCAGUGACAUUACGUUCAACGGCCGCGGUAUCCUAACCGUGCGAAGGUAGCGCAAUCAAUUGUCUCAUAAAUCGGGACCUGUAUGAAUGGCUAAACGAGGUCUUGACUGUCUCUUGCAGAUAAUCAGUGAAAUUGAUCUCCCUGUGCAAAAGCAGGGAUGUACACACAAGACGAGAAGACCCUGUGGAACUUAAAAAUCCGUGGCCAACUCCCACAAACCCAAGCCCGCCGGGCUUACCACCCAAAGUACUGGCCCACAUUUUUUGGUUGGGGCGACCUUGGAGAAAAACAAAACCUCCAAAAACAAGACCACACCUCUUAACCCAGAGCAACCCCUCAUCGUGCUAAUAGCUACCAGACCCAAUAAAAUUGAACAAUGGACCAAGCUACCCCAGGGAUAACAGCGCAAUCCCCUUCAAGAGCCCAUAUCGACAAGGGGGUUUACGACCUCGAUGUUGGAUCAGGACAUCCUAAUGGUGCAGACGCUAUUAAGGGUUCGUUUGUUCAACGAUUAACAGUCCUACGUGAUCUGAGUUCAGACCGGA
rnacentral:rRNA from 1 species